UUGGCUUCUUGGGCAUGGGAUUAUACCACUCCCUUGGCUUCCUCAUUUCUUGGCAAAAUUAUUUAUCAAAGUAAUGGCUUCCAAUGUGAACUAAUUCAAUUUUACAAUUUCAUAUCGGCCAGGUCAGGAGAUGCCAAAUAUAAUGUCAAUGGCUUGAAUUGAGAACAUUCCCCUCUGUCUUUCCACUCACUCAUUGUAGUGUGUGAUGUCUAGGUCACAGGGUCUGAUCAUUUGAAAGGCUAGAAUGGCUGUAACUGAAAACAUAUUGGAGUUGUGGAUUCUAGGCAUUUCCCCUCAGGCCUCACCCAAUGACAGUUGAGAACAGGGCCAUGUUUAAUGAGCGACCUCAAACCUCACGCUAAAACUGAUAUUGUGUAGUGUUUGUUUACACGUAUGGAAGCAGAUGUCAGGGUUAUUUAUCUAUGUUGAUGGCUUUAGUGGAAAAUCUGAUAUGAUUCAAUGAUGAGGCUUGAGGUUCUAACCUAAAGCAGCUGUUUCCAAGCCUCGUGACUGCAGUUGCUUAGUCUCCCAUUAGGAGGUUUGUAGACUGGUUGAAGUGGGAGAGGGAUACUUUGUCAUGAGAGAAGAUCUCCUUAUGCAAUGUUACGGUUUGAAAAUGACCAUUGUAAAUGCUCGGUCUAGACUGUGUGUUUUAUAAUAUGAUUUUCAAUGUAGCUCUUAUGUCCUGAUUCUGUUACAUUUUCAUCAGGACAGACCUUUCCUAGAUAUUUGGUUCUGACAAAAAACUGAGUUUGGAAUCCCAGUAGUCUCAUGGAACACGGAAUGACUUGAGACAAUGUUGCCUUAGUUCUUAGAUAAAGUGGUUAAGUAAUUGAAUCAUAUUCAAGCUGAAGACCAGAUUUUAGGCAUAGAGGCCACAGUCACUGACACUGCAUGCUGACAUGGCAUGUGAUGCACACAGCCAGACUACCCUCUGUGUCUUCCAGACUACCCACCCUCUGUGUCUUCCAGACUACCCACCCUCUGUGUCUUCCAGACUACCCACCCUCUGUGUCUUCCAGACUACCCACCCUCUGUGUCUUCCAGACUAAAAACCUAAAAAAGUUUGUCUGUCUGUCUGGAAACCCUGUGUCUGUCUGUCUGUCUGUCUGUCUGUCUGUCUGUCUGUCUGUCUGUCUGGAAACCCUGUGUCUCCCUGUCUGUCUGUCUGUCUGGAAACCCUGUCUGUCUGUCUGUCUGGAAACCCUGUCUGUCUGUCUGGAAACCCUGCCUGUCUGUCUGUCUGUCUGGAAACCCUGUCUGUCUCUCUGUCUAUCUGGAAACCCUGUCUGUCUGUCUGGAAAACCUGUCUGUCUAUCUGAAAACCCUGUCUGUCUGUCUGUCUGUCUGUCUGUCUGUCUGUCUGUCUGUCUGUCUGUCUGUCUGGAAACCCUGUCUGUCUGUCUGGAAACCCUGUCUGUCUGUACUUGUUGUGUCACUAGCACUAAUAUUGUAAGUAUUCCUAGUUGGGUUAUGUCAAUUUUGAAUACCAGUAUAACACUAAAUGAUCAGUCUAAUCUGCUUGACCACAAUGCCACAUGCGGUGCCUUUCACUUAGAGGACAUCAAGUCGCUCCCCUUGUGACAUUUGUGUGUUGUGCUGUUGUUUUUGAUACACUAACACCCCACCACUUUACUCUGUCUUUCAGGUCGGCUGUAUCGACUCAACCAUUCAGAGCCUGGCACUCAUGUACAUGACCCUGGGCCAAGAACAAGAGUAUGUAAAGCACUGCACGGCCACCUCUCUCUCCAAUACACGUACGUUUAUUUAUUUAUUUUUUCACAGUCGGCUUGGCAGGAUGUCCGAUCCAAAGUUCUCUCCUGUAGCAGGAACUGCUGAAAGCAUAACAAAAAAACAGGGACUAACUUGAAGGUGGAACGCAAACAAAUAUAUUUUCUGUCAUUUCCGAUAAACAUUUGGUCGCAUUUUUGUAGAAUCAUUUGGUGGUCGGUUUGUGCAAAACAUUUAGGGUGAAUACUUUGGAUUCUUCUACGAACUUCAAAAUAUAGUUUUAUUAAAAUGUAAUUUUUUUAUUUUAAAAAAUGUGUCACAUGCACGGAAAACAACAGGUUCACCUUACAGUGAUAUGCUUACUUACAAUCCUUAACCAACAAUGCCGUUUUACAAAAUAUUGAAAAAUAACUAAUAUUUAGAGCACAUUUUGUUUUAAUUUUGAAUUAUCUUGCGAGAAAAUGUUGAAAUGUAAUCUAACCAAUUAAUAUCCUAAUGUUAAUAAGUUAAUAAGUUAAGACCAAGCCACAAUGGUAAAUAGCUUGUAACCUUCUGCUUAACAUAUCUACUUGAGUAUUGGUGUGUUUCUACAUAUACUGUAAGUUGGUGUGUGUUUACAUUUGUACAUAAUAUAUAAUAAUAUAUGCCAUUUAGCAGAUGCUUUUAUCUAAUGUGUGCAUACAUUUCACAUACUGCUGGUCCAACUGAGCUACAGAGAGAACUAUAUGAAUGUUGGUGUGUGUUUCUACAUGUGUUUACAUUGUAUCCCCUGAUACCAGUCAGUCAGGAGGUGACUCAUUCAGGAGGAGUACAUCACUCCUCUGCCAGACUUCCGACUAUGAACGGUCCGUUUUCAGUUAGAUUGAUAUUUCUACAUGUGUGUGUUGACAUUUUAUACCUUGUAGUUUCUCAUCAGGUGUCUCAGUCGGGAGGACAGUGGGAUCAUCAAUCCUCUCAGAGUUAGACCUCAGACUAUGAACUGUCCAUUUUCAGUUAUCAUGGUACCGGUGCUGUGUGCCUGUCAAGUACAGUACUAUGAUAACUGAAGAUUGGCAGUGCCAUCGCAGUGGUUCUCUGUGCAACCUUCUGAGGCAGACAGGCCUAAAGAUCACUGGUUUAUUUCAAUUCUGAGUAUCAACAUUCUAGAAUCUACUAUAGGUAUUAUCUGUUUUCUGAUUCUGAAUUCUCAGUAAUGAUGUUGUCCUAUUUAGAAUUUCCCUGAUGUGUAUAUUUUGUUGUCUAUGGGGGGAUCAUGGAGACCUUUGAGCUGCUAUUUAGUUGUUUGAAGGCAUCCCAAAGCACACACUGUCCUGGGUCAUCUCUGACAUCACACAGGGGCAGAGGUCACAGUGCUUCUCAGUAUUCCAUUGUGUUUGACUUCCCCUCUGGCCUUCACGGCCUGUUUGUAGGAUGCUCUCGUGUUUUGUAUUUGACUGUGUUGUAAAAUAACAAAUAAUCUCUUCGUGAGCUAGCUUGUUGCACUGCUGUAUUUGAGUUGCCAAGCCACCCACCUGAAAUAGUCUCACUUUCUCACUCACUCCCAGGUUUGACAUACUCAGACACGACAGACUUCUUCCAGAUGAGGUUUAAGAUGGAGACUCCGACAUCAUCAAAUCUGUCGUUCUGCCCCUGAACAAGGCAGUUAACCCACUGUUCCUAUGCUGUCAUUGAAAAUAAGAAUUUGUUCUUAACUGACUUGCCUAGUUAAAUAAAGGUCAAAUCAAAAAAAAUCUUUGGAGGACAAGAGGUAAGGAGGAGACCAAGUACCGAUGACCUGUGUUGAGAGCCGGGUUUACCAACAUCAGCAAAUCAAUAUUUUUAUACCAGAGUCGUUCUUGAAUUACGGUGGCAUUUGGGUAUGGCGUAAUUAAAAACAACAUGCUUUCUAGAUUUGUAUUUAUUGAAAUGUAUUGACCAUUAGGAUAACAUUGUGCCACCAGUAGGAGUCGUAACACCAAUGAGAAUUUUGUUUAUUGAGGAUUUUCUUAAAUGGAGGCCACGAUACUUAAAUCUAAGAUCAUUAACCCAUAAAAUAGUUGACUAAAGGGAUAUGAUUAAUAAUUGAGCUCAUAAUGUUAUUUCCCUUUUUAAAUGGACUAACCCCAAGUGACACUGGAUUCAGACACACCACAUUAUCAAUGGAAUCCUCAAAUGUAUGACAUAAUAAAAAAUAGUGUGAUUAGCUAACAAUUUUCUUUAAUAAAGACGUCUCCCCCAAUGUUUUCCACUGGAGGGAAUGGUCGAGGUCCUUGUAUAUCUUUGUAAUGAGUGGUUUUUCAGGCGGUAACUCCAAGGAAAUAAAACUGAGGGAAAGAUAUAGUAGUAAAAAUAUAUAUAUUUUUAAUAGCCUUUGUUUUCAUUGAUCUAAACAAUAUAUUAAAUACCUUUUUCAUCUUCUAACAUUCAAAAUAAUAUUUAGCUCUAAAUCCCCAAAAUGUCACUACAACUUCACACAUCACUACCUGGACAAGCCAAUGUGAUUACUUGCCCUAAGUACUUUAUACUGCAAAACUUUCUGUUAAUACAUUAUUUAAUGGACUUGCAUUACAGUAGCUAAGAGGUGGCGAAGUAUGUCUAUGAUAAGACGCUGCUCUACCAUCUUGACAGCACUGUCAACAAGGUAGGUCCUACAGGCCUACGACUGUUCAGUCGUGUGGUCAGGUGCCACAAAAAAGGACAUUGGAAAAUUGCAUUUGUUUCAGAACAGGGCAGCGCGGCUGGCCCUUGGAUGUACACAUAGAGCUAAUAUUAAUAAUAUGCAUGUCAAUCUCUCCUGGUUCAAAAUGGAGGAGAGAUGGACUUUAUCACUACUUGUAUUUAUGAGAGGUAUUGACAUGUUGAAUGCACCUAGCCGUCUGUUUGAACUCCUGGGACACAGCUCGGACACCCAGGCAUAUCCCACAAGACAUGCCACAAGAGGUCUCUUCACAGUCCCCAAGUCCAGAACAGACUAUGGAAAGCACACAGUACUAAAUAGAGCCAUGACUACAUGGAACUCUAUUCCACAUCUCGUAACUCAUGCAAGCAGUAAAAUUAGAUACAAAAAUAUAUAUUUUUAAUAUAUUUUUUAAAAUCUUUUAAACACCUUAUUGAACAUCGGGGACUGUGAAUCAAUACAUUCACAGUCCCCACAUUCACAGUCACCACAUUCACAGUCCCCUGUUUAUGGAGCAUAAACACACGAUAGCAUACGCACUAUAUAGUCAUGUGCACAUGGAUUUUGUACGGUAUAUAUGUGGUGCAGUAGGGGACCUGAGGGCACACAGUCUGAAUGUAAUGUUUUUAUAAUUGUAUGAACUGCCUUCAUUUUGCUGCCUUGGCAGCAGCUAAUGGGGGUACAUAAUAAAUACAAAUUGUUUUAUUAUUGUCUAACUAUUUGUCCAUUUUUCAUGGUUGCAAAGGGACACAUGCCACCACAAUUCAAGAAUGAACCAUGUAUGAUUCUGUGGCACUCUCACCCGUGUCUCCGAGGCACUUUGGUAUGCCAAGAUACCUGUCUGUAGGCUAUGUUGUUGGAGUGUUCUCUCUCUGACUCUCCUCCAAAAUUGCAUUGGGUCUUGAUUCUUAUUCGUACCUUAAUGUGCCUUUCAUUGUUGUUACUAACUGUGUUCAUAUUUAUUUAGUUAUGUUGCCGAUAAUGAUCCUUCCAGUUUUCAUCAUCUGGAUUCUCUCCUGCUGUAGAACAUUAAAUGAACAUCCCUUCCUCCGUAGGAUCCAUUUCAGUAAUUCAGCAGGGUCAAUAGAUGGGUAUGUGCAUACCGUAUGCCCUGUGAUACUGUAAUCAGGGCUCGUUUGGAGUCCCUUUCACUGACUCCCUGAGGCGCACAGCCAUGGUUAAUAUCAAAUCAAAUGUAUUUAUAAAGCCCUUCUUACAUCAGCUGAUAUCUCAAAGUGCUGUACAGAAACCCAGCCUAAAACCCCAAACAGCAAGCAAUGCAGGUGUAGAAGCACAAUAUGUAUGUCUAUGGUGCCUGCCCAGGGUUAAUAUGUAUGUCUAUGGUGCCUCACAGGGUUAAUAUGUAUGUCUAUGGUGCCUGCCCACGGUUAACAUGUAUGUCUAUGGUGCCUCCCCAGGGUUAAUAUGUGUGUCUAUGGUGCCUCCCCAGGGUUAAUAUGUAUGUCUAUGGUGCCUCCCCAGGGUUAAUAUGUAUGUCUAUGGUGCCUCCCCAGGGUUAAUAUGUAUGUCUAUGGUGCCUCCCCAGGGUUGACAUGUAUGUCUAUGGUGCCUCCCCAGGGUUGACAUGUAUGUCUAUGGUGCCUCCCCAGGGUUAACAUGUAUGUCUAUGGUGCCUGCCCAGGGUUAAUAUAUAUGUCUAUGGUGCCCGCCCAUGGUGACAGGCCGUCAGCUACAGUAGCUGUUCUACAUAGCCAACAGUGCCCUGCAGCAGCAUCAGAACGCCUCAGUGGCUCAGCAAAGGCCUCCCUCCACCUACUGCCCAUGGACCUAACCUUUAAUGUUUGCAGAUCUGUAUGGCGGAAGCUUCACCUCUACCCUGCUAAUAUCUAUCCAGACCCUUCAGAUCGGCAAACAUGUCCAUAUUAGGGCCAAGGGGAAGGGGUAGGUAGAGAUUGAAUUGAGACCAGCUGUAGUCGUCAAUGUGCUGAAAGAAGAAACCUUGUAUGCCUUCAUUAUCCACACAGGGCUGCUUCAACAGCCACAGGGUGACGCUAGCUAUUUGUCUAACAGUCCUCUGGUACUGUACUGUGUAGUUGUAUGUAAACAUGUGAAGAUAUACCGUGGUACGGUAUGGAACUGUAACCUAUAGUUAUAUGUAACUAGCCAUUUAUAAAGUUUCUCUGAUUUGUGAAAAUAUAA
ensembl:lncRNA